CUCCCCGCGAGGCGCGCUGCUGCUUCUGCUAGCCGCGGCGGGGGUCGCAGAGGUGACGGGAGGCCUGGCUCCGGGCAGCGCGGGUGCUGUGUGCUGUAAUCAUUCAAAAGAUAACCAGAUGUGCCGGGAUGUGUGUGAGCAGAUUUUCUCCUCAGAAAGUGAAUCCCGACUGAAACAUCUGUUGCAGAGAGCCCCAGAUUAUUGCCCAGAAACAAUGGUUGAAAUUUGGAGUUGCAUGAAUUCAUCUUUGCCAGGU